rnacentral:rRNA from 1 species
AGCGAACGCUGGCGGCAUGCCUAACACAUGCAAGUCGAACGGGCGGACAUGAAAGUGGCGGUCGUGCGGGUAGCGCGUAGCAACGGGGUCAGAGGUGGAGGACAACCCCGUGAUACUGGGGCUAUUACGGCAGAUGGGCUGAGGUCCAAAGGCGUAGGGCGCGCUUGGGGGGGCGUGAGUCCGAUUAGGUGGUUGGGGUGGUAAAGGCCUACGAAGCCUUGGAUCGGUAGCUGGUCUCAGAGGCCGGCCAGCCACACUGGGACGGAGACACGGCCGAGACUCCUACGGGAUGCAGGAGAGGGGAAUACUGGAAAAUGGCGUGAGGGAUGAUGCAGCUAGGCCGGGUGAGUGAAGAAGGUCUGCGGGACGUAAAGCCCUUUCGACGGGGACGAUGAUGACGGUACCCGAAGAAGAAGCCCCGGCUAACUUCGUG